CCCUGAUGUUAGCGGCGGACGGGUGAGUAACACGUGGGUAACCUGCCUGUAAGACUGGGAUAACUCCGGGAAACCGGGGCUAAUACCGGAUGCUUGUUUGAACCGCAUGGUUCAAACAUAAAAGGUGGCUUCGGCUACCACUUACAGAUGGACCCGCGGCGCAUUAGCUAGUUGGUGAGGUAAUGGCUCACCAAGGCAACGAUGCGUAGCCGACCUGAGAGGGUGAUCGGCCACACUGGGACUGAGACACGGCCCAGACUCCUACGGGAGGCAGCAGUAGGGAAUCUUCCGCAAUGGACGAAAGUCUGACGGAGCAACGCCGCGUGAGUGAUGAAGGUUUUCGGAUCGUAAAGCUCUGUUGUUAGGGAAGAACAAGUACCGUUCGAAUAGGGCGGUACCUUGACGGUACCUAACCAGAAAGCCACGGCUAACUACGUGCCAGCAGCCGCGGUAAUACGUAGGUGGCAAGCGUUGUCCGGAAUUAUUGGGCGUAAAGGGCUCGCAGGCGGUUUCUUAAGUCUGAUGUGAAAGCCCCCGGCUCAACCGGGGAGGGUCAUUGGAAACUGGGGAACUUGAGUGCAGAAGAGGAGAGUGGAAUUCCACGUGUAGCGGUGAAAUGCGUAGAGAUGUGGAGGAACACCAGUGGCGAAGGCGACUCUCUGGUCUGUAACUGACGCUGAGGAGCGAAAGCGUGGGGAGCGAACAGGAUUAGAUACCCUGGUAGUCCACGCCGUAAACGAUGAGUGCUAAGUGUUAGGGGGUUUCCGCCCCUUAGUGCUGCAGCUAACGCAUUAAGCACUCCGCCUGGGGAGUACGGUCGCAAGACUGAAACUCAAAGGAAUUGACGGGGGCCCGCACAAGCGGUGGAGCAUGUGGUUUAAUUCGAAGCAACGCGAAGAACCUUACCAGGUCUUGACAUCCUCUGACAAUCCUAGAGAUAGGACGUCCCCUUCGGGGGCAGAGUGACAGGUGGUGCAUGGUUGUCGUCAGCUCGUGUCGUGAGAUGUUGGGUUAAGUCCCGCAACGAGCGCAACCCUUGAUCUUAGUUGCCAGCAUUCAGUUGGGCACUCUAAGGUGACUGCCGGUGACAAACCGGAGGAAGGUGGGGAUGACGUCAAAUCAUCAUGCCCCUUAUGACCUGGGCUACACACGUGCUACAAUGGACAGAACAAAGGGCAGCGAAACCGCGAGGUUAAGCCAAUCCCACAAAUCUGUUCUCAGUUCGGAUCGCAGUCUGCAACUCGACUGCGUGAAGCGGAAUC
rnacentral:rRNA from 1 species